rnacentral:tRNA from 1 species
UGCGGGGUGGACUAACGGUAAGUCGGCUCCCUGUCGAGGACGCAGAUGCGGGUUCGAUUCCCGCCCCCGCAG